rnacentral:rRNA from 1 species
GUAAUGGCUCACCAAGGCUAUGACGCCUAUCUGGUCUGAGAGGAUGAUCAGACACACUGGAACUGAGACACGGUCCAGACUCCUACGGGAGGCAGCAGUGGGGAAUAUUACACAAUGGAGGAAACUCUGAUGUAGCAACGCCGCGUGGAGGAUGACACACUUCGGUGCGUAAACUCCUUUUAUGUGAGAAGAUAAUGACGGUAUCACAUGAAUAAGCACCGGCUAACUCCGUGCCAGCAGCCGCGGUAAUACGGAGGGUGCAAGCGUUACUCGGAAUCACUGGGCGUAAAGCGCGCGCAGGCGGCUUUGUAAGUUGGAUGUGAAAUCCUAUGGCUCAACCAUAGAACUGCAUCCAAAACUACUUAGCUAGAGUCUGGGAGGGGAAGAUGGAAUUAGUGGUGUAGGGGUAAAAUCCGUAGAGAUCACUAGGAAUACCAAAAGCGGAGGCGAUCUUCUGGAACAGUACUGACGCUGAGGCGCGAAAGCGUGGGAGCAAACAGGAUUAGAUACCCUGGUAGUCCACGCCCUAAACGAUGAAUGUUAGUCGUCGGGAGGCUUGUCCUUUCGGUGAUGCAGCUAACGCAUUAAACAUUCCGCCUGGGGAGUACGGUCGCAAGAUUAAAACUCAAAGGAAUAGACGGGGACCCGCACAAGUGGUGGAGCAUGUGGUUUAAUUCGAAGAUACGCGAAGAACCUUACCUGGCCUUGACAUUGAUAGAAUCUGCUAGAGAUAGCGGAGUGCCCUUCGGGGAGCUUGAAAACAGGUGCUGCACGGCUGUCGUCAGCUCGUGUCGUGAGAUGUUGGGUUAAGUCCCGCAACGAGCGCAACCCUCGUCACUAGUUACUAACGGUUCGGCCGAGGACUCUAGUGAGACUGCCUUCGCAAGGAGGAGGAAGGUGAGGACGACGUCAAGUCAUCAUGGCCCUUACGGCCAGGGCGACACACGUGCUACAAUGGGAUGUACAAUGAGACGCAAUACCGCGAGGUGGAGCAAAUCUAUAAAGCAUCUCUCAGUUCGGAUUGUAGUCUGCAACUCGACUGCAUGAAGCUGGAAUCACUAGUAAUCGUAGAUCAGCCAUGCUACGGUGAAUACGUUCCCGGGUCUUGUACUCACCGCCCGUCACACCAUGGGAGUUGAUUUCACCCGAA